rnacentral:rRNA from 1 species
UACGUAGGGGGCAAGCGUUGUCCGGAUUUAUUGGGCGUAAAGAGCUCGUAGGUGGUUCGGUAAGUCGGAUGUGAAAUCUCCAGGCUCAACCUGGAGGGGUCAUUCGAUACUGCCGUGACUAGAGUUCGGUAGGGGAGUGUGGAAUUCCUGGUGGAGCAGUGAAAUGCGCAGAUAUCAGGAGGAACACCCGUAGCGAAGGCGGCACUCUGGGCCGAUACUGACACUGAGGAGCGAAAGCGUGGGGAGCGAACAGG